rnacentral:lncRNA from 1 species
GUACCACCUUCUUCGAUUUUACAGGAACUGAUUCGGGCCGCUGACGUUAAUGAGAAUUAUGCUUUUCUGAGCUCUGGAACAAGCUUUAAGAUCUUCCAGUGAGAACAGUUGAGCGAAUUUCACACCUCACACAAUUGCAAAGGAAUUACGGGCACAUUGACAACACU